UACGGAGGGAGCAAGCGUUGUUCGGAUUUACUGGGCGUAAAGGGCGCGUAGGCGGCCACCGCAAGUCGACUGUGAAAUCUCCGGGCUUAACCCGGAAAGGUCAGCCGAUACUGCGGGGCUAGAGUGCAGAAGGGGCAACUGGAAUUCUCGGUGUAGCGGUGAAAUGCGUAGAUAUCGAGAGGAACACCUGCGGCGAAGGCGGGUUGCUGGGCUGACACUGACGCUGAGGCGCGAAAGCUAGGGGAGCGAACGGG
rnacentral:rRNA from 1 species